UUUUAAUUGUAAAUUAUAUAUUUAARUAGUAAUAGUGUUCUUGARACUUAAAGAAUUUGGCGGUACAUUAAUCUAAUUAGAGGAACCKGUCCUUUWAUCGAUAGYCCACGAAAAUUUAACUUUAACUUGUUAUCAGUAUGUAUAUCGCUGUCGUAAGAUUAUUCCUUGAGGAAUUUUUCUGGAUUAAUAUUCUUAUUUAUGACAAGUCAAGGUGCAGSUGAUGUUGAAGGUUGAGAUGGGUUACAAUAUAAAAAUGUAUUAUGGAUGUAAUGAUGAAAAUUUUAUUGAAGGUGGAUUUAAGUGUAAAAUUAAACUAAAAUUUUAAUUUGAAUUAGUGCUAAUGUAUGU
rnacentral:rRNA from 1 species